rnacentral:rRNA from 1 species
AUAGUAGUGUCAGAGUUUGAUCCUGGCUCAGGAUGAACGCUGACAGAAUGCUUAACACAUGCAAGUCGACUCGGAGUCUUCGGACUUGGGUGGCGCACGGGUGAGUAACGCGUAAAGAACUUGCCUCUUAGACUGGGACAACAUCUGGAAACGGAUGCUAAUACCGGAUAUUAUGGUUUCUUCGCAUGGAGGAAUCGUGAAAGCUAGAUGCGCUAAGAGAGAGCUUUGCGUCCCAUUAGCUGGUUGGUGAGGGUAACGGCCCACCAAGGCGACGAUGGGUAACCGGCCUGAGAGGGUGAACGGUCACAUUGGAACUGAGACACGGUCCUA